CCACACAAACUAGUGCUAUUUUGAGGAGGUGGUUUCCCCGUCGCUCUUCACGGCUGUUUCACAGUGAAAAUAAGCUUACCGCCCCCUUGCGGCCCAAGUGCGCAUAUGCAUUUAACGUUGUUGUGCCGCGAUUUCUGCAGGGGCGAUGAAAAAAUCUUUGGCGAAUGUUGUGGCAUCUGGCGCUGACACGACCAACUCUCUCUGUCUAUCCCCAACAGUUUAUUUAUUUCGCAAGAAUUCCGUGGAGGAAACAUUUUUUUCCAUGUUUGAAGUCUUGCUUGGCGAUGGGUUGAGUCAUUUUCUGAAGCAAUGAGAUGGAAGGAACCUACAUAGCAUCCAACAAACAAGGAUUUAUGUGAGGCAUUGUGUUUUCCACAUUGCAGACCUCUGUAUCACCAACUUAAAUGAGCCUCCACCUGUCCACCAUGAUCUCCCCCAAACUUAAUCCACACCUCUUCUUCAGGAAUUGCCCCAUCGUGAGUUGUGAGAAAUCCAUUCCUGUGGAAAGAUGAUGGAACAUGAACAUAUGGUCUGUGACUCUGCUAUGGACCUAGCGAAUCACUGUCGACUGUCCGUGGUUCAAGUGAGGAUUGGCAAACCUGGUCAUUUCUUGAUUACCUACAGAAUGCAACUGCACCAUGCAAAAUCUUAUGCAGUGAUGGAGACACUACCUUUGACUGUGUGAAGAUCAGACAAUGCAAUUCCCGUUGGUCAGCCCCCCACCCCAAGGAGCCAUGCACUGCCAGAGAUCUUGAGCCAGGUCUUCAGUGGUUAUCCAUGGAUAAGAAGAACGGAGACAAUAAAGAUAGUGAGGUAUCUUGUUGAUUUCGGCGUGACCAUCUUCCUGACGCUUCUUCCAAACAAUGAAACUGGAGGCUCUUUCCACGAAUCUUGGAAUAUGUACAAUUGAAUGUGUAGCUGCUUCAAGUGUGAUUCCAGCUUUUUCAAGAGCUUCUUGACGUUCUACUUCUACUGGCCUUUAAUUGUAGUUAACAUGUCCUGUGAAUGUUUUUAGGAGGCCAGUUUUGCCACAAACACAGUAAACCUUAAGUUCACAUAUAGUUACAAAACAGGGAUUACUUGUAACAUCAUCUAGGAAAAAGUUCUUGCUACAAAUUGGACAUGGCGAAACUUUUCAUUCAUUAUGUCUUCAGUAUUUACUGAGGUACUCACUACAAAAGGAAGUUGGGGUCAAAAUUUCAUCAAAAUCGGAUGUAAAAUAAGAAAGUUAUGACAUUUCAAAGUUUCGCUUAUUUUUAACAAACAGUUAUAUGAACGAGCCAGUUACAUCCAAAUGAGAAAGUCGAUGAUGUCACUCACUCACUAUUUCUUUUGUUUUUUAUUGUUUGAAUUAUACAAUAUUUCAAUUUGAUGAUUAGGACCUCCUUGCCUGAAGCACAAAAUGUUCAAAUAAUGGAAUACCACGUGUUCAGGGAGGAAUGAAACGUCAUUUCACAUGACAAUGACGAGAAAAUCAAAUAUUUCAUAUUUCAUACAAUCAAAUACAAAAGAAAUAGUGAGUGAGUGAUGUCAUCAGUUCCCUCAUUUGCAUACUGACUGAGAUGUGCAUAUAACUGUUUUGUGAAAUGAAGCGAAACUUUAAAAUGUCAUAACUUUCUUAUUUUACAUCCGAUUUUGAUGAAAUUUUCAGUGUUAUGCUUGUUGAAUUUUCCUCUUUUUAUUCAAAUCAAGUUUUUGUUGGAGUGGACUUGUCCUUUAAUAAUCAACUGAAAAUUACUUAGUGGAAAAGUGGCUUAUUGGAUUCCCUAUCUUAUGCUUAUAAUUAUUUUUUUUUUCAUAUUUAAUAUUUCUCCAUCAAAUCUGACAAAUUCAUUAUUUUUUUAUCAAUAAUUAUUAAACGAUGUCAGUAAUAAGAGUUUUGAUAAACAUGUGCAGUAUAUGUACCAACAUCCAUGUGCAGAAUAUUUGCUGGAAGGGUACAUGCUACAGAGAAAUUUUAAAGUGUGCAACCAUAGGAUACAGGAAAAAAAGUUCUUGCAGUCUUUGAUGUACUUUUAAAGAUCAAGAUAGAAUUACCCAAAACAUCUAUUAGGUGUUAGUAGCCGAAAAUAUCCUAGAUUAGUUCAGCACUAUUCAUCUGGAAGAAGAGAUGAGUCAAAGCAUUUAAGACAAUUUUAAAAGUUGCCUGCGCUAUAAUUGUUUUAAUUGAUAAGCAGUUAGAAUUGAUCAAAUUCUGAAUGCAAGCUGACAAAUUUAUUUAGAAGGAGGGUAUUAACAUGAAUGUAUUUCAAUACAAGUAAGACGUCUCUGGCAGUCUUGCCUGCAUUAUUAUGCAAUCCAAUAUGAUCGCAUUUCAGAAGUUCGGUAUGGAAAUGGGUGGAUAAUGGAAAAAGUAUUUGUUGAGUUAAAUGCCACUAAUUGAAUAAUAUUAAAUUCAAUUAUUAAUCAAAAACAGACUUCUGGAAUGUCUCUACAGUUAUUAUUCAUGACAUGUCUAAUCACACUAGACUAAUAGAAAAAUGUCAGCCAAUACAAUAUUCAAAUUUUCAAUUUUUUUUAGUUCCAAUAAUUUAGAUAUAUUUCACUUCAAACUUUAAUUCAAAGACUACAGGCAUCACUUUUUAUACGCCCGUCUUGACGGGACGUAUUAUGGUAUCACGCUAACUCUCUAACGUCCGUUAACUUUCCCUUGUAAACGCGAUAACUUCAGUUUAACUUAAUCUAGGCUCAUAUAAUUUGGUGCCCGAUACUAGCAUGGAUACCAGGAAGCCUAUAGACUUUGAGGCCAGAAGGUCAAAGGUGAAGUCACCAUCUUCCACUUCUCUUGCUUGACCAAUAACUCCAUUUUCCAUGUUACAGACCGGCAUAUUAUGUGCCCGCCUUAGCAACACUCUUGUUCAAUUUGAAGUGUAUUGAUUAAGAAGUUAUAGCAUGUAUGUUAAAUAGUAGGUUAAAAACAACUAAAAUAUGUAUUAUAAUGACAAUGUAUUAUAUUGUGUCAUGAUAUGAAUUAUGACUGUAAGGUUUACAUUUCUAUUCAGUUAAAAUGCAAAGAACAACGAGAUGCAGAUUAUUUUUACAAAUUCACCCAUUUUGAAAAUAUAAAGGAUUUAGCUACAUGUGCAUGUCAUACCCAAUCUAAUCAAUUACCAGUAUUCACUUAUCUGAUUUGUAAUUUAUAUUUAUAGUAUUUUUAAGUCUUGUAUCAUUGCAUGAAAAAAAUUUAUCCACGGGGUACUGAAUUUGCCGGGCAUGUGAAGGUGAAAGUCAUUUUUCAGUUUUUUUUUUUACAUUGUUAAAAUUAAAUGUACACUGUAAUUGAUAUGCAUACAACGAUAGAUAACCAAUUUUUGUGGCUGUUUGAGUGGUAGAUCACAUACAAUUUGCAAAUAUUAUAUUUUAAAAUGACUGAUUAUUUCAUAUUUAUAUUUAUUAUUUUUUUGGAGGGGGUAUGUAAUGCAGACCUGACAAGUGACCAUGGUUUUCAUUUAGGUGUUCAAUCCCUUCUCCUUUCAUCCAUAUUUUAUAGCUUUUAUAAAGUUACAAGGGUUUCAUUGACCCUACAGACAUGUAGAGAUUGAAUUUUACCUCCUGGAAUCUUAUCCAAACACAUAAAAUGAGAAGUAUCCUUAUCAGGUAAUGGUAAAUGAUUAUGUCUUAAACACAUUUUUUUCCAAACACAUAUAAAGUAUUCUAAUCUUGGGCUAUCAUGAAUUAAGUUUUAGGCUAUUUAUCCCAUAUUUCUCACGUUAGUCCAUAAUUCAUUUCCAUAUCAGUUGUUAUACAUGCUUAUUAAAACAUUUUAUUGGAAGGUUUCAUUCAACUAAAAUUAUUGUCUUGAUGUUUAUUUAUAUAUAUAUAUCUUUGUGCAUGUAAUGUCACUGGAGGGCAAAUUUUCAAAUGUGGUUCAAUGAAUGUGAAUGAAUCUCUAUCUUUAUCUAAACUUCCUUAAAUAUAUAGUAAUUCACUGCAAUUUUAUUGUAAAGUUUGAAUAAAAUUUGUUUAUAUAAUCUUA